CACCGCGGUUAUACGAGGGGCCCAAGUUGACAAGCUAACGGCGUAAAAAGUGGGUCGUAUAAUAUAAAAACUAAAGCCAAACACCUUCAAAGUUGUUAUACACUAUCGAAGGCAGGAAGUACUUCCACGAAAGUGACUUUAAACCUUACAACCCCACGAAAGCUAGGGAAA
rnacentral:rRNA from 1 species